rnacentral:lncRNA from 1 species
UAACUAACUUCCAAGCUGCCCUGCCAAAUAUAUGUUAGUUAAAAUAGCCUGUGUCCCUCUUUCAUCAGUAUUUAAAUCCAGACCAAGCACAGGAUUCUGCAGGGUUUAACCCCACACAAAAGGAGAAUUUUGGAAUUUAGUCAAAGGGCAGACAGCUGUGGAUGAAGGUUAUGGAACAGAUGAGCCAAGCCCUGCCAUUGUCCUUGUCCUUCUGCUGGACAUUCACACCAGGUAUCUAUGCAGACACACAAUAUCUAUCCACCUGCCUUUGACCACACUGUUAUAUGUUUUGGAUUCUCAGUGGUUAACCCUACACCAGAAGAUCAUUAACUGCAGGUGUGAGAACCGGAGGCUGAAAACACAGGCUUGAAAGAACACACUGCACCUCAGUGCUGCUGGAGUAAUGCCUGCAGAGGCAAAGUUUAGCACAUGGGCUGUGGGAAAAGUUGCCAUGUGCAAGAACUUGGAGGAAACCUACCUCUUCCCUUGAUACACCAGCCUGCAGGGUCUGGCCCUGGCGUCUAGGGCUGUGGUCAUGAUUUUGAAGUCUACCAGCACAAGAAAGCAACUUUUACCUCUGGAUCAAGGCUAGGCAACCAGAUGAAAGCAGUUCAGUUACUAAACCUGUUUUCACUUUCAAAACUGAUACAGCUGUGAAUCACCUCAAAAUGAAAUAAAGCUCUUCUGUUCUCACA